GAUGAAGAACGUAGCGAAAUGCGAUACUUGGUGUGAAUUGCAGAAUCCCGUGAACCAUCGAGUCUUUGAACGCAAGUUGCGCCCGAAGCCAUUAGGCCGAGGGCACGCCUGCCUGGGCGUCACACGUCGUUGCCCCCCCAUCUACUCCUUCGGGAUUGCGGGGGGCGGAUGAUGGCCUCCCGUGCGCCUCGUCGCGCGGUUGGCAUAAAUGCCAAGUCCUCGGCGACGCACGCCACGACAAUCGGUGGUUGCGAAACCUCGGUUGCCCGUCGUGUGCGGUCGUCGCGCAUCGAGGGCUCGAAAAAAUUGCUGGGCUCCGGCUCGGCUUUCAACGCGACCCCAGGUCAGGCGGGGUUACCCGCUGAAUUUAAGCAUAUCAAUAAGCGGAGGA
rnacentral:misc_RNA from 1 species